ensembl:lncRNA
AGUUGCUGUCACAAUCCAAAGGAGCUUGCCGUCAGCGGCGCUUUGUUAACAACAAGUCCAGUUCGUCUCCAGCUCAUCAACAACACGCAGAGACACUUCGUUCUAAUGUGGACCACAGGCUCGGUUUAGAGAUGAGGAAAUCAGGAGAUGGAUGACCUUAUCAAGAACACACAUGCAGCGAGUCAGCUCCAGACGCAGGACUUCAAUCUUCCGAGUCCAAGUCUGUUUUAAUGUUUUAUCUGUUGUUCGGGGGUUAUCAAAUGGACGAAGAUUCUUAAGGAUGGUCGUGAAGAACCAAAAACACUCUGAGAGGUGGCAGCGUCUCCAACGCUCAGCCGG